UACGUAGGUGGCAAGCGUUGUCCGGAAUUAUUGGGCGUAAAGCGCGCGCAGGCGGUCCUUUAAGUCUGAUGUGAAAGCCCACGGCUCAACCGUGGAGGGUCAUUGGAAACUGGGGGACUUGAGUACAGAAGAGAAGAGUGGAAUUCCACGUGUAGCGGUGAAAUGCGUAGAGAUGCGGAGGAACACCAGUGGCGAAGGCGACUCUUUGGGCUGUAACUGACGCUGAGGCGCGAAAGCGUGGGGAGCGAACAGG
rnacentral:rRNA from 1 species